rnacentral:rRNA from 1 species
ACGCUGGCGGCGUGCUUAACACAUGCAAGUCGAACGAUGAAGCCUAGCUUGCUAGGUGGAUUAGUGGCGAACGGGUGAGUAAUACGUGAGUAACCUACCUUUAACUCUGGGAUAAGCCUGGGAAACUGGGUCUAAUACCGGAUACGACCAAUCUCCGCAUGGGGUGUUGGUGGAAAGCGUUAUGUAGUGGUUAUAGAUGGGCUCACGGCCUAUCAGCUUGUUGGUGAGGUAACGGCUCACCAAGGCGACGACGGGUAGCCGGCCUGAGAGGGUGACCGGCCACACUGGGACUGAGACACGGCCCAGACUCCUACGGGAGGCAGCAGUGGGGAAUAUUGCACAAUGGGCGCAAGCCUGAUGCAGCGACGCCGCGUGAGGGAUGACGGCCUUCGGGUUGUAAACCUCUGUUAGCAGGGAAGAAGAGAGAUUGACGGUACCUGCAGAGAAAGCGCCGGCUAACUACGUGCCAGCAGCCGCGGUAAUACGUAGGGCGCGAGCGUUGUCCGGAAUUAUUGGGCGUAAAGAGCUUGUAGGCGGUUUGUCGCGUCUGCUGUGAAAGGCCGGGGCUUAACCCCGUGUAUUGCAGUGGGUACGGGCAGACUAGAGUGCAGUAGGGGAGACUGGAAUUCCUGGUGUAGCGGUGGAAUGCGCAGAUAUCAGGAGGAACACCGAUGGCGAAGGCAGGUCUCUGGGCUGUAACUGACGCUGAGAAGCGAAAGCAUGGGGAGCGAACAGGAUUAGAUACCCUGGUAGUCCAUGCCGUAAACGUUGGGCACUAGGUGUGGGGGACAUUCCACGUUUUCCGCGCCGUAGCUAACGCAUUAAGUGCCCCGCCUGGGGAGUACGGCCGCAAGGCUAAAACUCAAAGAAAUUGACGGGGGCCCGCACAAGCGGCGGAGCAUGCGGAUU